rnacentral:pre_miRNA from 1 species
CUAGUCGAUCCUCUUUCCCGUUCACUCAUCUCGUCAAUCGAUGAUUGAAUUUCGAGUGACAGAUCAUCAGUGCGCGAGAAGGAAGACUAG